CAGGCCAUGGGAAGACAUUACCUGUUGAUAACACAGACUAUUCUCAUGAUCAUGGGAGGUGUGAGAGAAUUGCUGCUCUUUGUGAUGACUGUGGGGGUUGUCAAAGUUUCUUGUUACCCUGUUGGAAAGUCCCAGAAGCAAGAUCAAGUCUCUCUGCAGAGGAGACUUGGAGAGCUGUCAUCAAAUGACGUCUCCAUUGAGCAUGCCCUGGCCUUGCUCCGAUCCAUAGGGUCUGACGCUAAACAAGACAGAGAAGAGUAUUUAGAGACUAACGAAGUAGAAUCCCAAGCUUCUCCAAACCAUGGUAGCUCUCAGGCAAAUGAUGCCCUGUCCUCUGAGGAGAAGCUGAGGCGCAUGUCCUCUGACGACGCUGCGACUGGCCCGUCUGACGACGCUACCUCUGAAGCUGCGACUGGCCCGUCUGACGACGCUACCUCUGAAGCUGCGACUGGCCCGUCUGACGACGCUACCUCUGAAGCUGCGACUGGCCCGUCUGACGACGCUACCUCUGAAGCUGCGACUGGCCCGUCUGACGACGCUACCUCUGAAGCUGCGACUGGCCCGUCUGACGCACGCUACCUCUGAAGCUGCGACUGGCCCGUCUGACGACGCUACCUCUGAAGCUGCGACUGGCCCGUCUGACGACGCUACCUCUGAAGCUGCCACUGGCCCGUCUGACGACGCUACCUCUGAAGCUGCCACUGGCCCGUCUGACGACGCUACCUCUGAAGCUGCCACUGGCCCGUCUGACGACGCUACCUCUGAAGCUGCCACUGGCCCGUCUGACGACGCUACCUCUGAAGCUGCGACUGGCCCCGCGUCUGACGACGCUACCUCUGAAGCUGCGACUGGCCCCCGUCUGACGCACGCUACCUCUGAAGCUGCGACUGGCCCCGUCUGACGACGCUACCUCUGAAGCUGCGACUGGCCCCGUCUGACGACGCUACCUCUGAAGCUGCGACUGGCCCCGCCUGACGACGCUACCUCUGAAGCUGCGACUGGCCCCCGUCUGACCACGCUACCUCUGAAGCUGCGACUGGCCCGCCGCGACGCUACCUCUGAAGCUGCGACUGGCCCCCCGUCUGACGACGCUACCUCUGAAGCUGCGACUGGCCCCGUCUGACGACGCUACCUCUGAAGCUGCGACUGGCCCCCGUCUGACGACGCUACCUCUGAAGCUGCGACUGGCCCCGCGUCUGACGACGCUACCUCUGAAGCUGCGACUGGCCCCCGCCUGACGCACGCCACCUCUGAAGCUGCGACUGGCCCCCUGCGACUGGCCCCGUCUGACGACGCUACCUCUGAAGCUGCGACUGGCCCCCUGCGACUGGCCCCGUCUGACGACGCUACCUCUGAAGCUGCGACUGGCCCCCUGCGACUGGCCCCGUCUGACGACGCUACCUCUGAAGCUGCGACUGGCCCCCGUCUGACGCACGCUACCUCUGAAGCUGCGACUGGCCCCCUGCGACUGGCCCCGUCUGACGACGCUACCUCUGAAGCUGCGACUGGCCCCGUCUGACGACGCUACCUCUGAAGCUGCGACUGGCCCUCGUCUGACGACGCUACCUCUGAAGCUGCGACUGGCCCGCCUGACGCACGCUACCUCUGAAGCUGCGACUGGCCCGUCUGACGACGCUACCUCUGAAGCUGCGACUGGCCCCUGCCACUGGCCCCCGUCUGACGACGCUACCUCUGAAGCUGCCACUGGCCCCCGUCUGACGACGCUACCUCUGAAGCUGCCACUGGCCCCGUCUGACGACGCUACCUCUGAAGCUGCGACUGGCCCCCCGUCUGACGACGCUACCUCUGAAGCUGCGACUGGCCCCCGUCUGACGCACGCUACCUCUGAAGCUGCGACUGGCCCCCGUCUGACGACGCUACCUCUGAAGCUGCGACU